CAAGUAUGGUGCUAAUUCAACGUUUUAUUUUUACUUCUACUCAGGAGGGGAGCUGUAUUAUUGCCGCCAAAAAGGCACAGACCAGGCAGUCCAAGUGAAGGUUGUCUGUGGUGCUGAAGAGGCAAAUGAAAUUUUUAAGAGUUUUCAUGCCAGCCCGGCAGGGGCACACACCGGGCAAAAUAAAACAAGACACAGCAUCUCUCUGAGAUAUUACUGGCCAGCGAUGUCUGUUGACAUUAAUGAGUGGGUGUCCCAGUGCACCGAAUGUCAGGCAGCCGGCAUAUCAAUAAAAAGCCCAACAGAGGUCAUGCCUAUACAGGUCAGUUAAUCCAAAUAAUGUUCUCUAUUUUGACCCAAGGUCUAUAUAGUAUUUUGUAUGUGGCAUACUUUAUAUAACUAUUUUUCUCAGCAACAUCAGUUUAACACAAUUUGUUUUUAUAAAUAUUUAUUUAUUAGGUGUCUCAGCCAUUCGAACUCUUGGGGAUGGACCUCAUUGGCAAACUGGCUCAGACAAAAGAUGGAUACCAAUAUAUUUGCGUGAUGGUCGAUUAUUUCACGAAAUGGCCUCAAGCCCAUCCAUUGAGGUCGAAGUCUGCUGCUGAUGUUACCGCCUGUAUCCUAAAAUUCGUCUACCAAUUUGAGUCGCCAAAAAGGAUCUUGACAGAUCAAGGCAAAGAAUUUGUCAAUGCAAUCAACAAGAGAGUAUGUGAAAUGCUUGACAU